GCGGCGCGGCGCACCCUGUGCGGGCCCGGAGCCACCCUCCCCCCCCCCCGCCCGGUCCCCCAAUGCCGCGGAAGGCGCUGGUCUGCGGCCUGGAGCUGGAGCUCCGCUCGAUAACUUGCCCUGGAGUAUUGCUGAAAGACAAAAGUGAACUCUAUCUCAGCGCCUGUGUGUUUGGACAGUACAAAAGGACUCAAUGUGUCCCUGCAGCAUUUCCACUCUUCUUAGAAGAGAAACUAGUAUUUGAAAAGGUAUUUACUGAUGUAGUUGAUCCUGGAAAACUUGUUGAGCUACUUCAAUUUGACACAGCAGUACUUGAACUAAUACAGCUUGUUCCUCCAGUGGGAGAAAUUCUAGCCACUUAUGAAGAAAAUACAAGAGAUUUCCUGUUCCCUGAUCCUAAGCUUACUCGUGGGCACCAUGGUUCAGAUCGUGAAGUUUUAAUGAAGCGGUCUUCUAGUUUUACAGGAAUUGCACCAAAAUUGAGAUUUUCUACCAGCUCCCUUAUUACAGAAAGCCUGUUAAGUUCAGGAAGGAUUCAUGUACAGGAUAAUUUGGAUCGGGUGCAUCAUUCAGCUCCAAAUGGAAGAUUACAAACAAGGUCACCAAAGAAAAACACCUCUUCACCUGAGAAAAACCGACACUGCUUAGCAACAAAGAACUAUGAGCAGCCCACAAUAGCUUCUAAAUCACGAUCUCCAUCUCCAUACACAAAAAGACGAAUGUGUGAGCUAUCGGAAGAAGCCAGACAACGACUGGCCCAUUUAAACCUGGGGCCUUUUGAAUUCAGAAGAGAAACCGAUAAACCUCCAUUUGUAGUUAGACAUAUUGAACAUCCGAGCCCCACUGUUGAUGAUCAUACUUGGCGUCCUACCAGAGACAGUGGACGAGAAAGUUGGUCCAGGGUAUCUUAUAAUCCUUCUCUUCUUGGCAGCUAUAGACCCAAGCAUACUAAAAUUAUCAGGUCUCAUCAUGGGAAAGACUUAGAUGGCUCUUCUGACAGCUGUGAUGAGCACCCGAUCUCGGGUACUGCUACUAGGCAAUUUCAUUCUACUAGUUCAUUAAUACGUCCAGCACCCUCCUCAUUGCAGAAACAUUCCACAAGUCCUGUACUAAACCGUUCUUCUCUUAGAGAAAGAUUUAACUUUGGUUGGUCUACACCAGCAAAUGGAGAAGAAAUCCAUAAACGAGUGAAAAACAUUUUAAGGACACACAGUGCUAGGCAAAGGCUAACAUUUGAUGAGAGUAACUCAUCAAAAGGAGACUCAAGUAAGACAAGAGACGUUUCGUGUAAAGACUCAUUAUGUGGCAGUGAACUACAGAGCAGGCAAAAAUGGCCACCAGUAAACUUCACAUGCCCAGUUUAUUUUCCCAUCCAGAAGAUGGUAGGGUUGGGAUCUGAACCUUUAGAGAACAGGGGUAAACAUUUCAAAAACAUCUAACUCAUUUAGAUGUGUUUGAAAAAUUUACCCCAGAACUGAUCGUUACCUUUUUAAUUUUUGAUGAUCUAAUUUCAAAUAUAAUAUAAUAUAAAAUCAAACUGGUUGCGUGUAUUAUAAUGCAAUCGUUUAUUUCAAAGGUUCUAACAUAAAGCAAACAAUCCAUGAAGCUCAGAUAUAUAAGUGCAUUAAAAUCUGUCAGUGCUUGGUAAUGAAGACUUUCAGAGGAUAAAUUCUACUUGAUGGUUCUAGGAAAAUGAAUUCUGGAAGCUACUGUUCAUCAGCUCAGCAGAACACCACCGUUCACUUGGAUAAUGGUGAAUAUUGGUCCAACCGUGCAGCUGUGUACAAAGGAAA